GACGAACGCUGGCGGCGUGCCUAAUACAUGCCAGUUGAGCGCUGAAGGUUGGUACUUGUACCAACUGGAUGAGCAGCGAACGGGUGAGUAACGCGUGGGGAAUCUGCCUUUGAGCGGGGGACAACAUUUGGAAACGAUGCUAAUACCGCAUAAAAACUUUAAACACAAGUUUUAAGUUUGAAAGAUGCAAUUGCAUCACUCAAAGAUGAUCCCGCGUUGUAUUAGCUAGUUGGUGAGGUAAAGGCUCACCAAGGCGAUGAUACAUAGCCGACCUGAGAGGGUGAUCGGCCACAUUGGGACUGAGACACGGCCCAAACUCCUACGGGAGGCAGCAGUAGGGAAUCUUCGGCAAUGGACGAAAGUCUGACCGAGCAACGCCGCGUGAGUGAAGAAGGUUUUCGGAUCGUAAAACUCUGUUGGUAGAGAAGAACGUUGGUGAGAGUGGAAAGCUCAUCAAGUGACGGUAACUACCCAGAAAGGGACGGCUAACUACGUG
rnacentral:rRNA from 1 species